GGCAGGCAAGCGCCGGAAUUUCCCCGAGUUGCCGGUAGGCAGCAGCAUCCUUCGCGAUGUGGAUCAGGGGCCCGGGGGCCUGCCACAAU
rnacentral:ncRNA from 1 species